GAUCAUGACCUGAGCCGAAGGCAGCCGCUUAACCAACUCUGCCACCCAGGGACAAAAGCUUGGAGAGGUCAAGUGACUGGCCCAAGGUCACCCUACUCACUCCAGGGUCACAGAGCUGCCUCCCAGCCCAACAAGUGAUAUUCAGAAGCUUAUGGAAGACGCGAAGACCCAGACUCACCAGCCUUCUGACUGGAUCCCAAACAUACCUUUGGCUCCAUCGCCUCCAUGCCCAGGAAACAGACCAUCCCCUGCCCUCAAAAGACCUAUUCAUCUUGUAAUCCUAAAAACAAAAGUUAAUUAAGACCAAAUCUCUUCUUAGCAUUUCGCAAUGCCUUCUGGGAUAAUUAAUAUAACUGGUAUGAACUGCUCCAUAAACUCAGAGCACAAAUAUGGUCACAUUCCACUUAUUUUUCCAAUUAAUCUCCCAAGCACACAUCUACAUGAAAAGUCCAGCAUCUCCCUCUGGAGGCUUCCUCCCUUCCCAAGAAAUUGUCCCAUAGCCCUGGGGACAGGCCAAGUAAAAACAAAAAUGAGCUUCGCACAUACCAGGCAUAGAGGAACUGGAGUCUGUUCAGUUCAGAACGGGCGGGGAUUCUCUCGGCCACGGAUUCCUGCUACCACACAGUGUCACUGUUGAAACUCACGCCUACACAAUUUCUUGGAUACACGCAAAGGCGGAAACCAAGCCCCUGACCAGCAGCCAGAGGCCCCAUGUAGGGCUCUUCAAGUAUGAUUCUUAUUCAUUUUCUCAUACUUCGUUAUUUCCCAGGGCACAAGAACACAGCAGGAACCCCCAAGCAGGACUGAUUCUACUCUCCACCCCAAACAAAUCCCUUUCCCCUGGCCCAUGAGCACCGCGGGGAACUCUUUUAAAUAUCC